AAGUCGAGGGGCAGCAUAAUUAGUCGUAAGAUUAAUGGUGGCGACCGGCGCACGGGUGCGUAACGCGUAUGCAACCUACCUUUUACUGGGGGUAUAGCCCGGAGAAAUCCGGAUUAAUCCCCCCAUAGUACUGAAAAUUCGCAUGAAUAAUCAGUUAAAGCUUCGGCGGUAAAAGAUGGGCAUGCGUCCUAUUAGCUAGAUGGUAAGGUAACGGCUUACCAUGGCUACGAUAGGUAGGGGGCCUGAGAGGGUGGUCCCCCCACACUGGUACUGAGACACGGACCAGACUCC
rnacentral:rRNA from 1 species